rnacentral:rRNA from 1 species
AGAGUUUGAUCCUGGCUCAGGAUCAACGCUGCGGCGUGCCUAAUGCAUGCAAGUCGCACGGGUGGUCUUCGGACCGCUUACGUGGCGGACGGGUGAGGAACACGUGGGCAACCUGCCCGGUGUGGGGGCUAGCCUUCGGAAACGAGGGUAAUUCCGCAUAAGCUGGCCGAUCGAGUGGGUUGGUCAGGAAAGCCGUAAGGCGCCGCCGGAGGGGUCUGCAUCCGAUUAGUUAGUUGGUGGGGUAACGGCUCACCAAGGCGAUGAUCGGUAGCUGGUUUGAGAGGAUGAUCAGCCACACGGGGACUGAGACACGGCCCCGACUCCUACGGGAGGCAGCAGCAAGGAAUUUUCCGCAAUGGGCGCAAGCCUGACGGAGCAACGCCGCGUGCGGGAUGACGCUUUUCGGAGUGUAAACCGCUGUUCGUGGGGACGAAGCACUGACGGUACCCACGGAGGAAGGCCCGGCUAACUACGUG